rnacentral:rRNA from 1 species
GAUGAACGCUGGCGGCGUGCCUAAUACAUGCAAGUCGAGCGAACGGACGAGAAGCUUGCUUCUCUGAUGUUAGCGGCGGACGGGUGAGUCACACGUGGAUAACCUACCUAUAAGACUGGGAUAACUUCGGGAAACCGUAGCUAAUACCGGAUAAUAUUUUGAACCGCAUGGUUCAAAAGUGAAAGACGGUCUUGCUGUCACUUAUAGAUGGACCCGCGCUGCAUUAGCUAGUUGGUAAGGUAACGGCUUACCAAGGCAACGAUGCAUAGCCGACCUGAGAGGGGGAUCGGCCACACGGGAACUGGGACACGGUCCAGACUCCUACGGGAGGCGGCAGUAGGGAAUCUGCCGCAAUGGGCGAAAGCCUGACGGAGCAACGCCGCGUGAGUGAGGAAGGUCUUCGGAUCGUAAAACUCUGUUAUUAGGGAAGAACAUAUGUGUAAGUAACUGUGCACAUCUGGACGGUACCUAAGCAGAAAACCACGGCUAACUACGG